GGGCUCUCGCUCGGCGCGGCCAUGGAGGCGGACGGGAGCCAGGCUACCUCGGGGAGCCCCGGAGAGGCGCAGCACGACCCCGGCAAGAUGUUCAUCGGCGGCCUCAGCUGGCAAACCUCACCAGACAGCCUUAGAGACUAUUUUAGCAAAUUCGGAGAAAUUAGGGAGUGUAUGGUCAUGCGGGACCCCACCACCAAGCGCUCCAGAGGCUUCGGGUUCGUUACGUUCGCGGAUCCGGCGAGUGUAGACAAAGUCCUGGCUCAGCCGCACCACGAGCUGGACUCCAAGACGAUUGACCCUAAAGUUGCGUUUCCCCGACGAGCACAGCCCAAGAUGGUCACAAGAACAAAGAAAAUAUUUGUAGGUGGAUUAUCGGCUAAUACGGUAGUGGAAGACGUGAAGCAAUACUUCGAACAGUUUGGCAAGGUAGAGGACGCCAUGCUAAUGUUUGACAAGACGACCAACAGGCAUAGAGGAUUUGGCUUCGUAACUUUUGAAAAUGAAGACGUGGUGGAAAAAGUCUGUGAGAUUCAUUUCCACGAAAUCAAUAAUAAAAUGGUAGAAUGUAAGAAAGCACAACCUAAAGAAGUGAUGUUUCCACCAGGGACGAGAGGAAGGGCACGUGGAUUGCCGUACACCAUGGACGCUUUCAUGCUGGGGAUGGGAAUGUUGGGUUACCCGAAUUUUGUUGCAACGUAUGGCCGAGGAUAUCCUGGAUUUGCCCCAAGUUACAGUUAUCAGUUCCCAGGUUUUCCGGCAGCGGCUUAUGGACCAGUAGCAGCGGCGGCCGUGGCAGCAGCAAGAGGAUCAGGUUUUGUUUUACGUGCAAACAGACCUGCUGUGAGAGAGGGUGUCUCUGAGGCAAACUUUCCGGCCUCUCUUACACUCGGACGUGCACACCUCCUCUCAAACACUCUUCUGAGCGCUCUCAGCGGGAAGUCUUGAAUAGCUACAGUGCUCAACCGAAUUUUGGCGCACCCGCUUCCCCGGCAGGCUCCAACCCAGCGCGACCCGGAGGCUUCCCCGGGGCCAACAGCCCCGGGCCCGUCGCGGAUCUCUACGGCACGGCCAGCCAGGACUCCGGCGUGGGUAACUACAUAAGCGCCGCCAGCCCGCAGCCGGGCUCCGGCUUCGGACACGGGAUCGCCGGACCUUUGAUUGCAACGGCUUUUACAAAUGGAUACCAUUGAAACGUUACACAUGGUUGGUUGCCAUCUCACUUGGAGAGUCUCUCUGGAUGUCCGGGCAAGACGGGGCGAAGUUUCUGAAGGGGCCCACGGUUGGGUGAUCUCAUCAGACUUUGAGCACUACAUCAUUAUCAUCAUCAUCUUCACCGCCAACACAAACUGGAGGUGGCACUCGAAGGACUUGAGUUGUUUAAAAUCUCUCUCAUCAUCUCAUGAAUCUGCUGUACUAUAAAAACAACAGCUUUUAAAAGUAUGUAUAUAAAACCCAUUUCUUGUUCGUUUUAUUUUCUCGAUGGGUUCCCCCCCCCUUUUUAAACCUCUCCAAACCCACAUUUUUUCGUAGCCUUUGACAUAGUCUCGUAGCCACGUAGUUGGAAUUCUUUGUGUAUCUAGCGAAGCCUAACCAUAGUGUAACUGUUAUAUUAAGGGGUUUCUUUGGUUUUUCUUUCCCACCUCCCCCCCUCCUCCCCUGUUUUACGCAGUUGUUGUUGCUUAAAGGAUGCUGAGAUGGUGACAGGAGUCUCAGCCGCCGGUCCCGGCUCUGCCGCCGCCGCGGGGGGAGCGGAGCCGGCGGUGGGCACGGCACGGGGGGGCCGGUGGGGCACGAGGGGGGUGAGCAACAGGUUCUCUAGCCCUUCUUUUCCUUUGUGGCGUCUUCGUUAACUCUAAUUCUCUCUAUUUUCGGCAAUAAGGCGAGGGCGACAAACUUUUUGCGCGUCCUUUUUUUCUAUAAGUGCUUUUUUCUGUUGAAAGAGGUGAUAUAAGGUUUUUUGAAAAUUGUGAAUUCUGAAAAAAAAAAAAAAAGAAAAAAUAAUAAAAUGCUGUAAAUACAAUUCCAUUAACUACAUAGAAACUAUUAAGAAAGAGAAAUACAAAACCUAUUUUUGUGAUGGAGUCAGCCUAAGGCAGUUUCUCUAUGAAAAUGGAAGAAAAAAAGACAAGGACGUUGUAGCCUUUUGGAGCGACUGCCGGAGCUGGCCCGGGGUGGGUCGUGAGGCUGUGGGACCCUCCCAGCUCUCCCAGUUCAAAACCAGCAGCUUCGCUCUCAGACGUGCACAGCUUACAAAGGAACAGUCUAGUGGUAUUUUUUAUUUUAAUUUAAAACCUGCUUUUUCCCAAGACUGAUCAAGAAGCUACGAUUUUUCCUACUUAACGUAUUUACGGUUCAAAGCACACCUUUAUUUUGGUUUUGUUUGGUUGGUUGUUUUUUUUUAUUUUUCAGUCAUUGUUUUAAACUAGAUCAAACUUGCUGUCCAGUCAUUUCAGCUGCUCUGGGCACCCUGCACAGCCCGGGGUCGUCCCCGCUGCGGGCAGAGCGGUGUCCAGCUCACAUGGUUUCCUUUAUUAUCCAUCACUUUCUGUAUCAACAAAUUAGGAAGGCAACUUCGGUUGGUUUCGAUUUCUAUUUUUUUUUUUUUUUUUUUUUUGGGAAUACCUCAGUGCUACAAGUUUCACCCUAGAAGCAACGGAAGAUUUUAAUUUAUUGUAGUUGUAAACAGAAUUUAAAAGAAAUAAAGUAUAAAACAUCAUUGCACUGUGACUGGUAGGGGAAAAACUGACAGUUUCCUAUUUGCACAUGUUUAAUAUUUGGCUGUUAUAUAUAUGGUCCUCUGUUGGGGGAGGAAACUUAUGAAGGAUAUUUUUUAAUUUAAUUUUUUUAAUAUUGGUAAAUAGGCCUGCAACAGCAAACUAGAAGUACAACAUGGUAGGUGGCAUUAAGAACAUACUGUAGUGUGGAUAUAUUUCUUCUUUUUUUAACGUAAUAUUGACAAGUUUUAUUAAUAUUUUUUUAAAUUGUUACGUUUAUAAAUUUGGUACUUUAGGUACAGCCAGUAUAAGACACUGAAUGCGACAUUUGUUAAAAAGAGCUGCUGCACUCCUAUUUUUGUAAAUUUUACUAACAAGUAGACUAAUGUAGACAUUCAAUAGACAAGGUAGAGCAAGGCAUCUUUAACAAAAACAAGGCACCAUACUGCUAACCGAAAGGAGAAAACCUUGUUUUUCUUGUUUUUAAAAAAAAAAAAAUCAUGCUUUUUAUGUAAUAUUUUAGGUUUUUUUCUUAUUUCAGAACAACCAGGUUUAAGCAAAAUGCUGGACGCUUUUUAAAUAUUGAGACUUGAUCAAGUAAUAAAAGAAAUAAAACGAUUCUUUAAAAAAUAAAAACGUUAAAAAAAAAAAAAAAAA